rnacentral:rRNA from 1 species
UCUGGUUGAUCCUGCCAGUUGUCAUAUGCUUCUCUCAAGGACUAAGCCAUGCAAGUGUCAGAAUACAUGGGAUUGAGAGUGAAUCUGUGAAUGGCUCAUUACACCGGCGACAAUCUGAUGACUGUGCACUGGUUGCUUGGGGCCCUCGUGGUCCCCUGUGACAUCGGUCCGGAUAUUCACCUCAACUGGGUGGCUAAUACAUGGAAGCUCAGAGCUGUGGCCCGUUCAGGGUCACUGGCAGUUGGCCGAUAUCAAGACCUGCGCCCGUACAGGGCAGCGUGCAAGGGUGAUUCAGGCCGUUUUCUGUGAUGGCAAAGAUGGUUCUACCAUGAAUGCUCCACAGUGUGAGUCUCUGACCUAUCAGCUCUGGUUGGUGGUGUAGUGGACCACCAUGGCUAUCACGGGUAACGGGAAAUCAGGGUUUGAUUCCGGAGAGGGAGCCUAAGAAACGGCUACCAUUGCCAAGGCGAGCAGCAGGCGCGCAAAUUGUC